GCAUUAUACCGCGAAACUGCGAAUGGCUCAUUAAAUCAGUUAUCGUUUAUUUGAUAGCACCUUACUACUUGGAUAACCGUGGUAAUUCUAGAGCUAAUACAUGCUGAAAAUCCCGACUUCGGAAGGGAUGUAUUUAUUAGAUUAAAAACCAAUGCCCUCCGGGGCUCACUGGUGAUUCAUGAUAACUUCUCGAAUCGCAUGGCCUUGCGCCGGCGAUGGUUCAUUCAAAUUUCUGCCCUAUCAACUUUCGACUGCUGGGUCUUGGCCAGCAAUGGUGACAACGGGUAACGGAGGGUUAGGGCUCGACCCCGGAGAAGGAGCCUGAGAAACGGCUACUACAUCCAAGGAAGGCAGCAGGCGCGCAAAUUACCCAAUCCCGACACGGGGAGGUAGUGACAAUAAAUACUGAUACAGGGCUCUUUUGGGUCUUGUAAUUGGAAUGAGUACAAUUUAAAUCCCUUAACGAGGAACAAUUGGAGGGCAAGUCUGGUGCCAGCAGCCGCGGUAAUUCCAGCUCCAAUAGCGUAUAUUAAAGUUGUUGCAGUUAAAAAGCUCGUAGUUGAACCUUGGGCCUGGCCGGCCGGUCCGCCUCACCGCGUGCACUGGUUCGGCCGGGCCUUUUCCUCUGGCGAGCCCCAUGCCCUUCACUGGGCGUGCGGGGGAACCAGGACUUUUACUUUGAAAAAAUUAGAGUGUUCAAAGCAGGCCUAUGCUCGAAUACAUUAGCAUGGAAUAAUAGAAUAGGACGUGCGGUUCUAUUUUGUUGGUUUCUAGGACCGCCGUAAUGAUUAAUAGGGACAGUCGGGGGCAUCAGUAUUCAAUUGUCAGAGGUGAAAUUCUUGGAUUUAUUGAAGACUAACUACUGCGAAAGCAUUUGCCAAGGAUGUUUUCAUUAAUCAGGAACGAAAGUUAGGGGAUCGAAGACGAUCAGAUACCGUCGUAGUCUUAACCAUAAACUAUGCCGACUAGGGAUCGGACGAUGUUAUUUUUUGACUCGUUCGGCACCUUACACGAAAGUACAAGUUUCUGGGU
rnacentral:rRNA from 1 species